GCCCGUAGCCCUUCUGGGCGUUUCUCCCUAGACUUCGGGCCGUCCUUCGGGGCGGCUUUUUCUUUCAAAGGC
rnacentral:sRNA from 16 species